rnacentral:tRNA from 1 species
GUGGGGAUAGCUCAGUGGUUAGAGCGCGUGCUUAGCAUGCACGAGUCUUGGGUUCUACCCCCAGUACUUCCA